rnacentral:rRNA from 1 species
GAUGAACGCUGGCGGCGUGCUUAACACAUGCAAGUCGAGCGAAGCGCUCACGCGGAAUUUUUCGGAAGGAAGCGGGAGUGACUUAGCGGCGGACGGGUGAGUAACGCGUGGGUAACCUGCCCCAUACCGGGGGAUAACGGUUAGAAAUGACCGCUAAUACCGCUUAAGCGCGCGAGGCCGCAUGGCCCCGGGCGAAAAACUCCGGUGGUAUGGGAUGGGCCCGCGUCUGAUUAGGUAGUUGGCGGGGUAAGGGCCCACCAAGCCGACGAUCAGUAGCCGACCUGAGAGGGUGGCCGGCCACAUUGGGACUGAGACACGGCCCAA